UUUGGUUUCUUUCUCAGACACCGAUUCUUAUCUCUCGAUCUUCUUCCUCACAAUGCCUCUCUCUCUCUUUUCUUUAUCUUCUUCUCUGCUCCUCUAUUAUGAGCGAUAUUUUGACAGAUUUCCUCCCAAUAUUAGUUUCUUUAUUUCAUUGAAUUUGUUUUCCAAUCGUAUAAAGUGGAGAAAAUUGUUAAGUUUUCUUCCUCAUCAGAGUUUAUAUGGCUGAAUAAUACCAAACCCUAACCCUCAAUUACUCAAUCACACACAAUUUCAUCUGUUUCAUUACCUUCUCAACCAAUAAUUGUUCAAACUUAGCCGUAUAGCGAACCCUAAUUUUUGCUUAGCUUCUGAAAUCCAAUUUUCAUUUUAUUUUUUAUCUAUAGAAUUCGAAGAUAAUGAUCAUCAAACCUUUAGUUUUCCAUUUAUUCUUUAUUAUUAUCAAGUCCUAUUACUUGUUCUGUAAUUUUUCUUCAAAAUUUUAACCCUAGGUUGUUUUUAAAUCUCACUAAUACUUAGAAGGUUUAUGAUUUUUGCAGAUGUUUAUUAGUAAUUAAUGAUGCCCUGACUCUUACAAGGUGAAAUCAUUGGUGCAGAUAUUCCUAAAUGACCAGACUACUAUUGAUGUGGUGUGAAAUGCAGCUGAUUAUCAAUUGGAAAUACCCCAUUUAGGAAUUAUCCAGUUAGGUUGACAAUUGCGGCUAUAUUCCUCAUGUGCUUAUUUGAGUUCUUCAUGUAAUUCAAGUAUGAAAGCGUUAUGCUUAACGUUUACAGAUUUGUAACCUUACAGUUCGUCAUCUUAACUGAAUCAGGAGUUAUAUUCGAGCUGAUCUCUUGUUAAGAAAUUGGUGAUAUAGGAUACAAGAGCUGAUCUCUUGAUAA